rnacentral:rRNA from 1 species
UACGUAGGGUGCAAGCGUUGUCCGGAAUUAUUGGGCGUAAAGAGCUCGUAGGCGGUUUGUCGCGUCUGCUGUGAAAACCCGAGGCUCAACCCGGGAACUGCGUCCGAUACUGGCAGGCUUGAAUCCGGGAGAGGGAUGCGGAAUUCCAGGUGUAGCGGUGAAAUGCGUAGAUAUCAGGAGGAACACCGGUGGCGAAGGCGGGUCACUGGGCCGCAACUGACGCUGAGGAGCGAAAGCAUGGGAGCGAACAGG